GAUCCUCACAUCUUUCGCAGUCUGUAGUUUGUGAAGUGGUGUUUGGUCCCGGUUUUAUACAAAGGUAUGAUUUUUGCUAUUUUCAUUUUAUCUGGAAAUAUACCGAUCUGAAAUGAUAGGUUACAGAUGUAUGUUAAUGGUUUAGAGAUCCCCUCAAUCACUCGUUUUACGGUAAUCAUAUCAAUGUCAUCACAGUCUUUGGAUGUCUUGUUUGUGCAUUGGGAGACUAUCUUUAUAAUUUCCUUCUCAUCCGCUGCUUUGAGGAACAUUGAGCUCAGAUUCCUAUCUAUUAAACUAUUACACUGCUCCUCAGUUGUUACUGAAUCUGGUAUUUGUUUGGCCAGAUCAGGUCCCGUAUUUACAAAGAAUGUAUUGAAGUUAUCAGCCACUUCUUGCAUAUCAUACUUCUCAGUAUUCCUGAUAAUAAAAUAUUUAGGAUAAUUAAUUUUUUUAGAGCCAUUUUUUAUUACAGUAUUCAUUAUAUUCCAUAUUUCUUUGGUGUUAUUUUUAUUAUCAUUUAAUAUUUUACUAUAGUAUUCUUUUCUAGCAGCUCUUUUAAUAUUAGUUAGUUUAUUCUUAUAUUGUUUAUAUUUAUUUUCUGACUCUUUAGUUCUCUGUCUUAUAAAUUCUCUGUAAAGUGUAUUUUUCUUUUUACAGGCAUUUUGUAAGCCCUUUGUGAUCCAGGGAUGAUCUACAUACUUUAGUUUCCUAUUAUUUACUUUUACAGGACAGUAUUUGUCAUAAAACCUUUUGAAAAUUUUUAAGAAUUCCUCAUAUGCACAGUUAAUAUUAUUUUCAUUGUAUAUAAUAUCCCAGUUUUGUGACAUUCAACCAUUUUUAAAUGCGUUUAUUGUUUCUUCUGUUUUAAUUCUUCUGUAUUCCUGUUUUUUGGCCGGUUGGAUAAUUUUAUAGUUGUCAUCAAAAACCAUAAAAACUGGCAAAUGGUCACUGAUGUCGCUGACUAAUAACCCACUUAUGGUGUUGUUUAAAAUGUCAUUUGUGAAUAUAUUAUCAAUAAGAGUGGCACAGUGAGAAGUUAUUCUGGUUGGUCUAGUGAUUUUUGGAUACAAGUUCAUGCUAUAUAUUGUGUUAACAAAGUGUUCGGUCAGUUUGUGCUUGUUUGGAUUGAGUAAAUCAAUGUUGAAGUCCCCACAGAUGAAAAUUGUUUUGCAACAGAUUUUUGAAAACACCUCCUCCAUCCAUUCUGUGAACAGUUCAAUGCUAGAACCUGGUGUCCGAUAUAUACAGCUAAUGAUCACAUUUUUCUUUUUUUCCUUGAGUAUUUCAAUUGUUAUGCAUUCCAAUAUGUUGUUAACUACCAUUGACAUAUCCUUUAUCACCCUGACGUUUAAUGUCUUUUCCACAUAGAUCGCAACUCCUCCUCCACCUUUGU